GACGAACGCUGGCGGCAGGCUUAACACAUGCAAGUCGAACGGGUGCAGCAAUGCAUCAGUGGCAGACGGGUGAGUAACACGUGGGAACCUUCCUAGGGGUACGGAACAACUCAGGGAAACUUGAGCUAAUACCGUAUACGUCCGUGAGGAGAAAGAUUUAUCGCCCUUAGACGGGCCCGCGUCGGAUUAGCUAGUUGGUGGGGUAACGGCCUACCAAGGCGACGAUCCGUAGCUGAUCUUAGAGGAUGAUCAGCCACACUGGGACUGAGACACGGCCCAGACUCCUACGGGAGGCAGCAGUGGGGAAUCUUGGACAAUGGGCGCAAGCCCGAUCCAGCCAUGCCGCGUGAGUGAAGAAGGUCUUCGGAUUGUAAAGCUCUUUUGCCAGGGACGAUAAUGACGGUACCUGGAGAAUAAGCCCCGGCAAACUUCGUGCCAGCCGCCGCUGUAA
rnacentral:rRNA from 1 species